rnacentral:rRNA from 1 species
GUACACGCUGUGACUAGCAUAUCAAUAAGCGGAGGAAAAGAAACUAACAAGGAUUCCCCUAGUAACGGCGAGUGAAGCGGGAAGAGCUCAAAUUUGAAAUCUUAAAGGGUUUCCCUUUACGAAUUGUAGUUUAAAGAAGUGUUUUCUGUUGAGGUUUUGGUAAAAGUUCUUUGGAAUAGGACAUCAUAGAGGGUGAGAAUCCCGUAUUUGACCUUUACUUUCAACUUUGUGAUACACUUUCAAAGAGUCGGAUUGUUUGGGAAUGCAGUCCAAAAUGGGUGGUAAAUUUCAUCUAAAGCUAAAUAUUGGCGAGAGACCGAUAGCGAACAAGUACCGUGAGGGAAAGAUGAAAAGAACUUUGAAAAGAGAGUUAAACAGUACGUGAAAUUGUCAAAAGGGAAGCGUUUGACACCAGUGUUGUUUUUCUGAAAAUCAAUUAAAGAACUGUUUAUGCUAAGCUGUUUAGACUUUAUCAGCUAUCUGUUUAGUUUUGAGCUUUUCUUUAAUGCACUUUUCAGUUAACAAGUCAACAUCAAUUUCUUUUGCUGUAAAAAAGCUUGAGGAAGGUGGCUUGAGAUUCGUCUUAAGUGUUUAUAGCCUCUUGCCUAUGCAGUCGGAGAGAUUGAGGUCUGCAGCGUAGAUCCUUCGGGGCUAAAUGCAUUUGUGCUAAGUUAUAGCAUUUUAUAGACAACUUGUUGACUAUGAUUUGUCUUGUAGCUUACUCGCUAUGUUAUUUUACCUACGCUUAGGAUGUUGAAGAUGUAGCACAUCAU